AUUGAACGCUGGCGGCAUGCCUAACACAUGCAAGUCGAGCGAGCGGCGGACGGGUGAGUAAGUUAUGGAGAUCUGCCUAAUCGCGGGGGAUAACUCCUAGAAACGUUAGCUAAUGCCGCAUACCAUCCGUUGCACACACAUGGGCUUCGCGUGUAGGUGUGGUAACGGCUCACCUUGGCGACGAUCCCUAGCUGGUCUGAGAGGAUGAUCAGCCACACUGGGACUGAGACACGGCCCAGACUCCUACGGGAGGCAGCAGUGGGGAAUAUUGCACAAUGGGCGAAAGUCUGAUGCAGCAAUGCCGCGUGUAUGAAGAAGGGCUUCGGGUUGUAAAGUACUUUCAGUCGGGAGGCGUUACCUACAGAAGAAGCCCCGGCUAACUCCGUGCCAGCAGCCGCGGUAAUUC
rnacentral:rRNA from 1 species